AUGGCCAGGGUGGUCUGGAAGACUAUCGGAGCAGUCUUGGGUAUCGAACUAUGCCCUAAUAAUUUGUGGCAGUACUACUCUUGGUGCUUUAUUUUUCUUCCUGAUGGGGCGAGGUUUUUUACUUUUGGAUUGGCAGCGACUUGCUGGGCUAUUUGGAAUUGCAGGAAUAGGGCCACCAUUGAAUUCAAGCUUCCUAAAACUCCAUUUGAGAUCAUCUUUUUUGCAUGUAUGUUUAUGAACUACUGGGCGGGACUCAAGAAAGGAGGCGACCGUGAAGUGAUGGAGAGGGGUGCAAAGAUGUUGACAGACAACACCAACAACAUGAUGUUGAUCUGCGCGGUGACUACGGGCGACGACCUGAUCAUAGGGACUGUUCCAACUCUCUGUUCCAGUGGUGCCCCGUGGUUCUAUGGCUAG
rnacentral:rRNA from 1 species